rnacentral:lncRNA from 1 species
AUGUUAAAUUCCUAAGUUUUUGGGACCAAUUGGAACUAAAGGAAAUGGGUGGUGAUUGGUUAGUGACUUUUGGACCACACACACACUACACCUCACUUUUUCUCUCUCACCCUCACUUACACACACUCUCUCUCAGAUUCACUCUCUCUCUCUUUUCUUCUCUCUUGUACGGACUACACCCAAAACCCAUUGAAACAUGACAAAUCGAGGGUGUGAAGCACACCAUUAUGUUUGUGAAGGCCAUAUGAGUUCAAAGGUACCAUUUUCAGGUAAGGAAACCCUCGAAAACUUGUGAAAUCCGAACCCCGUUUGAGGUACUGUUCAUGUGAACGUUAAAUCUUGUGUUUUUGGAAAUUUUAAGCUCACAGGGAGCUUAAGGAGGUCCUUACGAGGCUUGGAGUACUUCGUUGGAGGUUUUUGGACGUCGGGAAGCGUAGAACAGAGGAGUUGCAGAGGUGGCCGGACUUUCGAUAGUUCUUCGGUGAGAUCCAGCGAUCUUUGGGACUUAAAAUUGGUAUAAAAUUGAUCCUCAUGUUAUAAGCUUUGAAUUGGUUCAACUUUCGUGCAUUUUGGUUGAGAAAUGGCUGAGUUAUAAGAUUUAGAAAAAUUCCCAGU